GGAAAUACGGCUUUUCCGCCUGCUCCCCCCUCCCCCCGAGCGCCGCUCCGGCCGCACCGCGCUCGCUCAGAGCUCCAGCUAAGCUAGAGCCGCUGUCGUGUCCCUCCAGCCGCCAUCAUGAUCAUCUACCGGGACCUCAUCAGCCAUGAUGAGAUGUUCUCCGACAUCUACAAGAUCCGGGAGGUCGCGGACGGGCUGUGUCUGGAGGUGGAGGGGAAGAUGGUCAGUAGGACAGAGGGUAACAUUGAUGACUCGCUCAUUGGUGGAAAUGCCUCCGCUGAAGGCCCCGAGGGCGAAGGUACCGAAAGCACAGUAAUCACUGGUGUCGAUAUUGUCAUGAACCAUCACUUGCAGGGAACCAGCUUCACAAAAGAAGCCUACAAGAAGUACAUCAAAGAUUACAUGAAGUCAAUCAAAGGGAAACUUGAAGAACAGAGACCAGAAAGAGUAAAACCUUUUAUGACAGGGGCUGCAGAACAAAUCAAGCACAUCCUUGCUAAUUUCAAAAACUAUCAGUUCUUUGUUGGUGAAAACAUGAAUCCAGAUGGCAUGGUGGCUUUGCUGCACUACCGUGAGGAUGGUGUGACCCCAUAUAUGAUUUUCUUUAAGGAUGGUUUAGAAAUGGAAAAAUGUUAACAAAUUUGGCUGUUACUUUGGAUCUAUCACCUGUUGUCAUAACUGGCUGGCCACUGCUUUCAUCCACACAACACCAGGACUUAAAAGACAAAUGGAACUGAUGCCAUCUUGAGCUUCAUUUAUUUUGAUGUUGAUUUAUUUGGAGCGGAGGCAUUGUUUUUGAGAAAAAAAACAUGUGUAGGUUGUCUAAAAAUAAAAUGCAUUUAAAUUCAAAAAAAAAA